AGAGUUUGAUCCUGGCUCAGGAUGAACGCUGGCGGCGUGCCUAACACAUGCAAGUCGAACGGAGUAUUAUGAAGUUUUCGGACGAAGUAAUACUUAGUGGCGGACGGGUGAGUAACGCGUGGGUAACCUGCCUCAUACAGGGGGAUAACAGCUGGAAACGGCUGCUAAGACCGCAUAAGCAUACAGUGCCGCAUGGCAGA
rnacentral:rRNA from 1 species